rnacentral:rRNA from 1 species
CCUACGGGUGGCAGCAGUGAGGAAUAUUGGUCAAUGGGCGUAAGCCUGAACCAGCCAAGUCGCGUGAGGGAUGAAUGUUCUAUGGAUCGUAAACCUCUUUUAUAUGGGAAUAAAGUGUGGGAUGUAUCCUAUUUUGUAUGUACCUUAUGAAUAAGGAUCGGCUAACUCCGUGCCAGCAGCCGCGGUAAUACGGAGGAUCCGAGCGUUCUCCGGAUUUAUUGGGUUUAAAGGGUGCGUAGGCGGCCUUUUAAGUCAGCGGUGAAAGUCUGUGGCUCAACCAUAGAAUUGCCGUUGAUACUGGGUGGCUUGAGUGUGUCUGAGGCAGGCGGAAUGCGUGGUGUAGCGGUGAAAUGCUUAGAUAUCACGCAGAACCCCGAUUGCGAAGGCAGCCUGCCAAGCCAUGACUGACGCUGAUGCACGAAAGCGUGGGGAUCAAACAGGAUUAGAUACCCGGGUAGUC